UUUACCAAGGUUAAGGUACAUGACUUAUGUUUAAAUGAAAAACGAAGUUGCAAAGAAACAUGUUUAGUGGAAUCUCAACGUGUUAGAAAAAAAAAAGGAAAAAGAAACACCUCUAUAUAUGUUUGUGUUUGAGGAUAGAAAUUCUGCAGAAGGACACCCAAGGCUGUGAACAUUGGAUAUCUCGGAGUGAAACUGCAGGCAGGUGAUCCGUUCGUUCCAGAAGCAUAUAAACACCUACCUGACUAUUCUGAGUCUUAGAGAAUCCAACGGUC
rnacentral:lncRNA from 1 species